UACGUAGGGUGCGAGCGUUAAUCGGAAUUACUGGGCGUAAAGCGUGCGCAGGCGGCUUUGCAAGACAGAUGUGAAAUCCCCGGGCUUAACCUGGGAACUGCAUUUGUGACUGCAUGGCUGGAGUGCGGCAGAGGGGGAUGGAAUUCCGCGUGUAGCAGUGAAAUGCGUAGAUAUGCGGAGGAACACCGAUGGCGAAGGCAAUCCCCUGGGCCUGCACUGACGCUCAUGCACGAAAGCGUGGGUAGCAAACAGG
rnacentral:rRNA from 1 species